AACACAUAGGGGAAGCCCGGGCAAACCGAAUAACCCAGGUAAAGCGGAUAAGCGAUUUUUCUGGAACACAAUAAGAGAUGGCUUUACAAGUUGCGGCUGCGUAGGCGAGUGACCCCUCUGACUACGCCAUGACAGUUGAUUCAAAGCGACUGGUGCCUUUCGUUUAUUUUUGUGACAAAAAAAUUGUUUAGUGUGUUCUUCUUACGAUUUUCGAUCAGAAUAGUGUUUAGGUAUAAACGUAAAACAAAUAAGAAACGUAAAUGGUAUUAACUUCUACACCAGUUAAAAGCAAACAAGCAAUAAAAUGCAAAAAAAUGAUAUUAAAAUGGAUCCACCCAUAGAGGACUGGAUCCAAUGCUCAGAGUGCCACCGUUGGGCACAUUAAAAUUGUACGUUAUUAUGAUGGACUUGACAGUUAUUUCUGCGAUGACUGUCAGGAGUUACUGCCUAAUAUGCUAUACCCGACGUAGCUUAUCCACUUUACCCGACCGGGUCGGGUAAAGCGGAUAAUGGAAGAGGUUUAGAAAAAGUAAUAAUUAAGUAUGAAGAUAUUA